rnacentral:rRNA from 1 species
GAUGAACGCUAGCGGCAGGCCUAACACAUGCAAGUCGAGGGAGAAGCCCUUUCGGGGGCAGAAACCGGCGCACGGGUGCGUAACGCGUAUGCAACCUACCUUUCACAGGGGGAUAGCCCGAAGAAAUUUGGAUUAAUACCCCAUAAUAUUAUUGGAUGGCAUCAUUUGAUAAUUAAAACUGCGGUGGUGAAAGAUGAGCAUGCGUCCUAUUAGCUAGUUGGAGUGGUAACGGCACCCCAAGGCUACGAUAGGUAGGGGUCCUGAGAGGGAGAUCCCCCACACUGGUACUGAGACAGGGACCAGACUCCUACGGGAGGCAGCAGUGAGGAAUAUUGGUCAAUGGUCGGAAGACUGAACCAGCCAUGCCGCGUGCAGGAAGAAUGCCUUAUGGGUUGUAAACUGCUUUUAUAUGGGAAGAAUAAGGCGUACGUGUACGUUGAUGACGGUACCAUAUGAAUAAGCAUCGGCUAACUCCGUG